rnacentral:rRNA from 1 species
GGAGUUUGGGCCGUGUCUCAGUCCCAAUGUGGCCGAUCACCCUCUCAGGUCGGCUAUGGAUCGUAGGCUUGGUGGGCCGUUACUCCGCCAACUACCUAAUCCAACGCGGGCCCAUCGUAUGCCGAUAAAUCUUUUCACACUGCACCAUGCGGUGCUGUGCGCUUAUGCGGUAUUAGCAGCCGUUUCCAGCUGUUGUCCCCCUGCAUACGGCAGGUUGCCCACGCGUUACUCACCCGUCCGCCACUAAACUUAAGAAAAUCCAUACGAGUACUUCAAUUCUCAAGUCCCCGUUCGACUUGCAUGUGUUAAGCACGCCGCCAGCGUUCAUC